rnacentral:rRNA from 1 species
GACGAACGCUGGCGGCGUGCUUAACACAUGCAAGUCGAACGGAAAGGCCCUGCUUGCAGGGUACUCGAGUGGCGAACGGGUGAGUAACACGUGGGUGAUCUGCCCUGCACUUCGGGAUAAGCCUGGGAAACUGGGUCUAAUACCGGAUAGGAGCCAUUUUUAGUGUGAUGGUUGGAAAGUUUUUUCGGUGUAGGAUGAGCUCGCGGCCUAUCAGCUUGUUGGUGGGGUAAUGGCCUACCAAGGCGGCGACGGGUAGCCGGCCUGAGAGGGUGGACGGCCACAUUGGGACUGAGAUACGGCCCAGACUCCGACGGGAGGCAGCAGUGGGGAAUAUUGCACAAUGGGCGCAAGCCGGAUGCAGCGACGCCGCGUGGGGGAGGACGGCCUUCGGGUUGUAAACUCCUUUCGCUAGGGACGAAGCUUUUUGUGACGGUACCUAGAGAAGAAGCACCGGCUAACUACGUG